GAUGUUAUUUUAUGACUCUCCUUUCCUGCUCCUGGUAAAGUUUCAGCCCUGCCACCAUUAAGCUGCAUGACCAACAUAGACCAACAUAACAAGUGAUAGCUGUUGUCAUGACUACAGACAACUUCAGUUGUACAUAAAAAAACAAAAACAAAAACCACUUUGCAGACUCUUCCCAAUCAGAUGGCAAACCUAUGAAAGUUGAAGAAACUGAAGCACAAAGAAUAAUUAACUUGUCCAACGUCACAGAGCUUGGGAAAAGUUGAAGCAGAGGUUUGACCUUUGCAUAAAAUCAUGCCCACACAUGCAAAAGGAGCACAACAGGACUGGCUCCAUCAAGUACCACCUGGAGAUGUCCUUCAGCUAAAAAUACUAGACAGGCUGAAAAAGCAAAAUCCCAAUCAACUGAUGAUCAGGUGCCGGUCUGAUUUAAUUGUUUGGAAGCAGCCACUGGAGGCAAAGCCAUGUGACUCAGCCUUGGUGAUGUGGUCCAGCUGCCGUCUGACAGACUUCCAAGUUAUUUCAAUUACUCCAGUGGAUGGCUACGUCGAAAAGGCCUGUCAGAGACACGACAAAGCAGAACUGUCAUGACCCUGGUUGACAGCCACCAUGUAAUGGCAACAGAACUUGGGAGUUGGGUACGACUAAGGUUUUCUGCUCAUUAGCUCUGGGAAUUUGGGGGGAAACUGAUUACCUUCCUUUAGCUUCUCGUUUCUUAUCUGAAAAAGGAUGAGCACAACUAUCUUGCAAGGUGCGUGUAAGGAGAAGAUAACACACACAGAGAUGAUGACGUAGAAUUUAGUAUGUAAUAGUGACUAGGUGCAUGGCCAUUGUUAUGAUUCAUUUAAUGGCUGAGACUCAAAAGGAAAUUCCGUUAUUUUCAGAGCUGGCUGGUGGAGGAGAGGGACUUGGUAACGUUUAUUGAGCUUUUACUAUACACCAAGCACUGGGCCAAAUGCUUUACAUGAAUUACUUAAUUUCAUUCAUGGGGUUCAUUCCCUGCUGGCUGUUUCAGGCCCCGCUCUUUGGUUUAUUUGCUAAUUUAUCUAUUAUCUGUGUCCCUUAUGAGAAAGCAUGGAGCAUGUCUGUUUUAUUCAUUGUUGUGCCUCAGUGUCUUCUACCUCAAUGAUUGUUGAAUUAAUGAAUUAAUGAACCCAUGGGGGGAAAAAGAUCCCUCUAGGAAUGACCUUUGUCUUCUUCUAUCAAGCGAUCUUGAUUCAUGGCCACUCUUCUGGGAUGAGCUCAUUUCUCAUCCUUCCUACAGCCGUCAGCUUGCCCCUCACACCCCCUGCCUUGAGCAUGGACUGUCGUGGCCACAUCAGAAUUCUCCCGUGCUCCCAGCCGUGCUCCUCGCUGCUGCUUGGAAACCUUCCUCACACACCCUAAUCAGCAAGCCUCAGGUGUGUCAUUGUCAUUGACUGAGUCCCGGCCAGCAUUAUCCACUCAGAGCCAACGCCUGUCAUGACCAACCCCAGCUUGCCCUAACCCACCUGACCUUCUACCACUUACUGGUGUCACCGUGUUCCAGGAAGACCAGUAUCUGCUCGAACACUUUGGUACAGCCUUGACUCAUUUGAAGUAGAUGGAUGAAAAGUCAACAGGUUGGACACCAAAGAGAACAGAAGAGCUGUGCUUGGCGGGCAGAUUCUCUGCAGUUUGGUACAGGAGAAGCAUAGAAUUACUGCACCACCAUUCCCACAUCAAGUUUACUAUCUGCCUGAGGCCCAAUUAAUGGCAACAGAAAUGUCAUUCGGAACAAUUUCUCCAUCCAGUGGCAUCGCUUAUCAACUUACGAAAAUAACGCCAAUGAUGGCCAGGCGAGGUGGCUCACGCCUGUCAUCCUAGCACUCUGGGAG